rnacentral:lncRNA from 1 species
AGUUAAAACAGUAAAGUUUGCGCGGGCUUCUGUGGUUUUCAGUCUUUUCCCCACUUCACGUGAUCUCAUUUCAUUGAACAACAUUAACCACCAUUUAAGAUACGUGAAACCUGCGAAGUGGAAAGGUGCACGCAAAGUUAAUUUACACCCCCCGCGAGAUUUCCUCUACAUGACAAAGAAAGACUGGAAAAGUGGUUAAAGAAUAUGAAGCGAGAUUCAUGGGUUCCCAGGAAAAGACCCUUCUAAAAAAAAAUCCCAGAAGAAAAACUUGGAAGAUGAGAAAGAAGUAUGCCCAAAAGCCAAGUCAGAAGAAUCAUUUGUAUUAAAUGAGACAAAGAAAAA